rnacentral:rRNA from 1 species
AGGAUGAACGCUGGCGGCGUGCCUAAGACAUGCAAGUCGAGUGGGUUUAGGCCCACGGCGAACGGGUGAGUAAUACCUAGGAACUUUUUUCAAGUCGAGGAUAUCCUUCCGAAAGGAAGUGCAAUACUUGAUGUGGCAGCAAUGCUAAAGGAGCAAUCCGCUUGAAGCGAGGCCUGGGCACCAUCAGCUAGUUGGUAAGGUAAUGGCUUACCAAGGCUUUGACGGUUAGCGGAUCUGAGAGGAUGACCCGCCACACUGGGACUGCGACACGGCCCAGACUCCUACGGGAGGCAGCAGUUUGGAAUUUGGUCAAUGGGGAAACCCUGAACCAGCGACGCCGCGUGGACGAUGAAGGCCUUCGGGUCGUAAAGUCCUUUUAGCAGGGAAAAUUUGAUUGUACCUGCAGAAUAAGAGGUUGCUAACUCUGCGCCAGCAGCCGC